rnacentral:snoRNA from 1 species
UCACAAUGAUGAAUGGUCCACACAGUCUCACUUUCUACCAAAAUUCCAGAUGUGUCGGCAACAAGCUUCCUUCCUUGGAUGUCUAAGUGA